AAAUUGAUUUACGGCUACAAAAUAGCAUUGUAUGGAACAGGAGACAUUAGAAUUGAAAGUACAAAUUACAUAAUCCUAUAAAACAGCAUAUACUGAAAAGAAUAAUCACUGAUUUCUAUUAUGUUAUAAAUGCAACUUAUAUUACAAGAAAGUCAUGGCAGAUAAUGAAAAGCAAUCUUUUGAACAAAUCAACUACACCUUCUGUUUUCCCAUUCUAGUAAAGGGCACCUUAACGGGACUGACAGUUAAAGUGCCCAAAUCGAUUCUGACAACAUUAAAUUAUAAAAACAGUAGUAAUUGCAAUAGUAACUGCACUACAACAAUAACGAUCACCAUAUCAGUAAUUUAGUUUAUUGGAAAUAAUGAUUCAUCUGGUAUUGUUUUGGUACAAAGUUCGUCUGGUAUGUAGUACAUGACACUUAACACAAUUAAACAUGACAAAAUUUAUCAGUUUAUAGCAGUCCUAAAACAUAGAAGUGCACAAAUACUUCUUCUUUUUUGUCGGUCACAAAUCCUUCUUUAGUAAACAUUGACGAAACAAUGGGCUUAAUAUUCAAACUUUAUUUUAUUUAAUCUCCUUCUAAGAAAACAAACUCAUUUUCUUGCGGCUCGUUUUUUAAAGUCACAUGUCAUCACAUUCUUAAAACCAAAAUUUUCAAACAGAAAUACAUACAAAAUAUUACAAAGGUGAUGAUCCAUCUUUUUUCACAAGUUACCAUCUAACGAUCAAGCAUCAUCGAGGUGUCAUGACUUAACCACGAAGUACACUAAGUAAUCUCUUCAGGCAUGUAUGUCCAUUUCAAUGUGAUAAGCACAUGCAAAUUUUCAUCUCCUCCAUAAUAUUCUUUCAACCACCUUAACACAUUAAUGAACUCAUAAAGCAAUGUUUUUACCAAUUCAACCAACAAAAACAAAGGUAAAUAUUUCAACCUGAAACUUGAAAAGGCUAAAAUAACUUGUACCUUUUUUCCAACCCGAUAGAACCCGGGUCGAUUGAGCUUCCAUUUCAGCUGGUGGGAUAUUCCCCACAUCCACCUCCACAUCCAUCCAAUCUAAAUUCUUAACCUUUUCAAAUCUAAACUAGCCCUUAAAAUACCUUCUGCAGCAAGUACAACCAAACAACAAUUCAACACAUAAAAUAGAACCUAAAUUAACAAACACAUUCUACCAAUUUCACAUAUUUGAAUAUAAAUUUCCUAUAAUGAAUUACAAUUAAAAAAAAAAAGAGACUACAAUAACACUCAAAACCAAACCCUUAGUCCAAUUGACAAUAAAAACAAAUCCCCCCUAAAUUAACAAACACAUUCAACCAAUUUCACAUAUUUGAAUAUAAAUUUACUAUCAUGAAUUACGAUUAAAAAAGAGAGACUACAAUAACACUCAAAACCAAACCCUUAGUCCAAUUGACAAUCAAAACAAAUCCCACCUAAAUUAACAAACACAUUCAACCAAUUUCACAUAUUUGAAUAUAAAUUUACUAUCAUGAAUCACAAUUUUAAAAAAAGACUACAAUAACACUCUCAAACCCAAACCCUUAGUCCAAUUGACAAUCAAAACAAAUCCCACCUCCAAAAAUUGGAACUAUAAGGCGAUUUCAAGAAUAAGAGUACAUAAUUAAUUACUGGAAACAAACAGUGCAAAUGAAAAUCAAAUUCGAAUUUUGGAAUCAUAAGUAGGAAGAAUACUUAGAUAAUUAAACUUCACAAGCUAAUAAAAAAAAUACGAAGAAUACUUGUCCGGAUUGAAGAGAAAGAAUCAAAUGGUGGAGUGUUUGUAAACCUUUUCUUCAAAUAGACGGAAAGGGGAAAUUUUCGAAGGUGAACAUGGCUCAAGAUAAACUCUCUUAUGCUAAUUUGCGCUGAAAUGUAUAAGCAGAUCAAUUGUACGGAGGUUCUAAGAGGAAAGAGAGGGAUUAAUUGGAGAUGUUGAGCACAGAAGGAGUUUAAUCGGAUAGAGAGUGAAAGAGUUUUGGGGUGGGAGUUGUAGGAGAGUAGAGGCUUUGCAGCAGAAGGGGGGGAAAGAAUUAAGUUUUUUAAAGAC
rnacentral:lncRNA from 1 species